AUUGAACGCUGGCGGCAGGCCUAACACAUGCAAGUCGAACGAGUGGCGGACGGGUGAGUAAUGUCUGGGAAACUGCCUGAUGGAGGGGGAUAACUACUGGAAACGGUAGCUAAUACCGCAUACCAUCGGAUGUGCCCAGAUGGGAUUAGCUAGUGGGUGGGGUAAAGGCUCACCUAGGCGACGAUCCCUAGCUGGUCUGAGAGGAUGACGGGCCACUCUGGAACUGAGACACGGUCCAGCCUCCAACGGGAGGCAGCAGUGGGGAAUAUUGCACAAUGGGCACAAGCCUAAUGCAGCAAUGCCGCGUGUAUGAAGAAGGCCUUCGGUUUGUAAGGUCCUUUCAGCGGGAAGGCGUUACCCGCAGAAGAAGCACCGGCUAACUCCGUGCCGGCAGCCGCGGUAAUAC
rnacentral:rRNA from 1 species